rnacentral:rRNA from 1 species
UACAGGGGGUGCAAACGUUGCUCGGAAUCAUUGGGCGUAAAGCGCACGUAGGUGGCCUGUUAUGUCGGAUGUGAAAGCCCUUGGCUUAACUGAGGAAGUGCAUCCGAAACUGGCAGGCUAGAGUACUAAAGAGGGUCGCGGAAUUCCCGGUGUAGGGGUGAAAUUCGUAGAUAUCGGGAGGAACACCGGUGGCGAAGGCGGCGACCUGGGUAGAUACUGACGCUGAGGUGCGAAAGCGUGGGGAGCAAACAGG